AUUGAACGCUGGCGGCAUGCUUUACACAUGCAAGUCUAACGGUAACAGGUUAAGCUGACGAGUGGCGAACGGGUGAGUAAUGCAUCGGAACGUGCCCGGUCGUGGGUGCUCACGCAGCGAAAUGUGCGCUAAUACCGCAUCCUCUCUGAGGAGGAAAGCGUUGGCACUGACGGCAUCGCGCGAUCGGACCUUCCUCUGUCAGAUUAGGUAGUUGGUGGGGUAAAGGCUCACCAAGCCAACGAUCUGUAGCUGGUCUUAGAGGACGACCAGCCACACUCGGACUGAGUCGAGGGCGAGAGUCCCAAGGGCGGCAGCACGGGGGAAUUUUGGACAAUGAGCGAAAGCCUGAUUCAGCAAUCGACCGUGCAGGAAGAAGGCCUUCGGGUUGUAAACUGCUUUUGUACGGAGCGAAAAGGUCUCCUCUAAUACAGGGGGCUCAUGACGGUCAAGUAAGAAUCAGCAACGGCUAACUACGUGCCAGCCGCAGAAGGAA
rnacentral:rRNA from 1 species